GACGAACGCUGGCGGCGUGCUUAACACAUGCAAGUCGAGCGGUAAGGCCCUUCGGGUACGACGAGCGGCGAACGGGUGAGUAACACGUGGGUGACCUGCCUCUAGCUCUGGGAUAAGCCUGGGAAACUGGGUCUAAUACCGGAUAUGACUCCACGGCGCAUGUUGUGGGGUGGAAAGCCUUGUGUGGCUAGAGAUGGGCCCGCGGCCU
rnacentral:rRNA from 1 species